rnacentral:rRNA from 1 species
CUACGGGGGGCAGCAGUGAGGAAUCUUAGACAAUGGGGGAAACCCUGAUCUAGCCAUGCCGCGUGAGUGAUGAAGGCCCUAGGGUUGUAAAGCUCUUUCACCGGUGAAGAUAAUGACGGUAGCCGGAGAAGAAGCCCCGGCUAACUCCGUGCCAGCAGCCGCGGUAAUACGGAGGGGGCUAGCGUUGUUCGGAAUUACUGGGCGUAAAGCGCGCGUAGGCGGACCGUUAAGUCAGGGGUGAAAUCCCGAGGCUCAACCUCGGAACUGCCCUUGAUACUGGCGGCCUUGAGGUCAAGAGAGGCAAGUGGAAUUCCGAGUGUAGAGGUGAAAUUCGUAGAUAUUCGGAAGAACACCAGUGGCGAAGGCGACUUGCUGGCUUGAUACUGACGCUGAGGUGCGAAAGCGUGGGGAGCAAACAGGAUUAGAUACCCGCGUAGUC